AUUCUUGUAGUUAAAUUUUUUUAACAAUGGUUUUUCAGGCCAUAGAUCUCGGAGAGAGGCCGAGCAGGAAUA
rnacentral:tRNA from 1 species